GUCACCGGAAUCGGCGCCAUCAGGCACAAUGCCACAAAGUACUGGUCCAAGCACGCAAUCUAAGCCAUGGGAAUCUAGCAUGACGCCAGGUUCAACGGCGUCGGGCACGUCACCAGGGCCGAUGCCACCAGGCACGACACCCGAGACUCCCGGUUCAGGAACGACACCACAAACUACGGCUUCUGGAACGACACCGGAGGUUUCACCUUCUGUCACGG